AUUGAACGCUGGCGGCAGGCUUAACACAUGCAAGUCGAGCGGGGUGAUGGUGCUUGCACUAUCACUUAGCGGCGGACGGGUGAGUAAUGCUUAGGAAUCUGCCUAUUAGUGGGGGACAACAUCCCGAAAGGGAUGCUAAUGCCGCAUACGUCCUACGGGAGAAAGCAGGGGCUCACUUGUGACCUUGCGUUAAUAGAUGAGCUGAAGUCGGAUUAGCUAGUUGGUGGGGUAAAGGCCUACCAAGGCGACGAUCUGUAGCGGGUCUGAGAGGAUGAUCCGCCACACUGGGACUGAGACACGGCCCAGACUCCUACGGGAGGCAGCAGUGGGGAAUAUUGGACAAUGGGGGGAACCCUGAUCCAGCCAUGCCGCGUGUGUGAAGAAGGCCUUAUGGUUGUAAAGCACUUUAAGCGAGGAGGAGGCUCUUUUGGUUAAUACCCAAGAUGAGUGGACGUUACUCGCAGAAUAAGCACCGGCUAACUCUGUGCCAGCAGCCGCCGUAA
rnacentral:rRNA from 1 species